rnacentral:rRNA from 1 species
UACGGAGGGUGCAAGCGUUAAUCGGAAUUACUGGGCGUAAAGCGCACGUAGGCGGUUUGAUAAGCCAGCCGUGAAAGCCCCGGGCUCAACCUGGGAAUUGCGGUUGGAACUGUCAAGCUAGAGUACAGUAGAGGGGUGUGGAAUUUCAGGUGUAGCGGUGAAAUGCGUAGAUAUCUGAAGGAACAUCAGUGGCGAAGGCGACACCCUGGACUGAUACUGACGCUGAGGUGCGAAAGCGUGGGGAGCAAACAGG